rnacentral:rRNA from 1 species
AUACGUGGGGGGCGAGCGUUGUCCGGAAUGACUGGGCGUAAAGGGUGCGUAGGCGGCCAGGUAAGUCAGAUGUGAAAGGCAUAGGCUCAACCUAUGUAAGCAUUUGAAACUGUCUGGCUUGAGUCGAGGUGAGGAAAGUGGAAUUCCUGGUGUAGCGGUGAAAUGCGUAGAUAUCAGGAGGAAUACCAGUGGCGAAGGCGACUUUCUGGACUUGGACUGACGCUGAGGCACGAAAGCGUGGGGAGCAAACAGGAUUAGAUACCCUGGUAGUCCACGCUGUAAACGAUGAGUGCUAGGUGUCGGGGCGAAAGCUUCGGUGCCGGAGUUAACACAAUAAGCACUCCGCCUGGGGAGUACGGUCGCAAGACUGAA